AGCGUAGGCGGACAUUUAAGUCAGGGGUGAAACCCCGGGGCUCAACCUCGGAAUUGCCUUUGAUACUGGGUGUCUUGAGUAUGAGAGAGGUGUGUGGAACUCCGAGUGUAGAGGUGAAGUUCGUAGAUAUUCGGAGGAACACCAGUGGCGAAGGCGGCUUACUGGUCCAUUACUGACGCUGAGGUGCGAAAGCGUGGGGAGCAAACA
rnacentral:rRNA from 1 species